ensembl:snRNA U6 U6 spliceosomal RNA
GGGUUCAUUUCAGCAGCACAUAUACUGAAAUUGGAAUGAAACAGAGGAGAUUAGCAUGGACCCUGCACAAGGAUGACACACAAAUUCAUGAAGCCUCAUGGUUCUGA